UACACAAGGACCUUGUUAAUGGGAAUAUGAAUGAGUUUGAUGAUAUAACCAAUGAGACCCAUAAGAACAAAACCAGUUGCAACGGCCUUAGAAAUGCUCAAGAACUCUGUUCUAUUAGUAAUAGCUCGUAUGAAUAAUUAUUUUGCUAGGGUAUGAAAGAGAAGAUAAUAGCAAACUCUCAAUUUCAUUGAGUAUUCAUUAUAACUACGAUACCUUUGCGGUCAGGCUUAACGCAACGCUUGAUAAAAUGUGAACCCUCUUUGUAAAAGUUCUUUGGGAUUUGGAA